rnacentral:lncRNA from 1 species
CGUGCCCCAGCAUAUAGCUAUUUUUUGUAACAGCUUUAUUGAGAUGUAAUUUAUGUAUCAUACAGUUCACAGAUUUAAAUACUAUUCAACGGUUUUUCAUUUAUUCAGCUUUGUGAGCCAUCCCCACAGUCACGUUUAGAUCCUUUUCAUCUCCCCAAAAGGAAAUCCUGCACCCGUUGGCAUCACUUCCCCUUCCUCCCCUCCCCCAGCCCCAUCAUCUAUUUUCUUUUUAUAUGUCUGUUUUAUGUUUUUCUUCCUCCUCUUGCUCCUCCUUUUUCUUCUUUGUUGUUGAUACACAAAAAACUGCACCCAUCUCCUAUAUACGAUUUGAUGCAUUUAGACUUAUGCAUAUACCUGUGAAAACGUCACCACAAUCAAGGUAACAAACACAGCCAUUACCUCCAAAAGCUUCUUCAUGCCCCUUUGUUUUUGGUUUUGUUUUAUUUUCCUCCUUUUCCUGGCUUUGUCCUUAUGAGGCUAAAGUGUGAUUCUGGUACAUGUCCCCUCGCCUGAGGAGUAACCAGGGGCAGCUGUUUAUAGGUGGAGCUGUUUAUAGGCCAGAGCCUGAAGGCAUUGCUGGCACUGGCAUGCUCAUUCACAUGACGCUCCUCACUCUGCAAGACAAGCCAGGAGUGUGAACAGAAAGAGGCUGGCUGUGAGCCAGAGGCGGUUCGUGGGGUUUCCUGGGUCCUGCAGAUGUUAGGGGUGGGUGUGGUUCUGCCCUCUUGGCUUGACUUCUGGCUCUUGGACUGCUUUUCCCUGACUCUACUGACUUGGCUCCCUCGCUUAUCUUCCUAAAAAAAGGAUUCCUCCGGAGCCAGCUUUUCACAUCCACAAUUUCCUUCCUCUGUCCCCCUCUCUUGGGGCACUCACUGAGUAGUGAGGCAGGUCUCCAUCCACACAUCUCCUUCCUCCUUCAGAUGGGAGCUCCUGGUUGGGGGGCACUGCUAAGUCCCCUAGCACAGAGCUAGCACCCAAUGGGUAUGUGGUCAAUAUUUAUUGAAUGACAAAGGGAAUGGUUAAAUGCAUUUCACUUAUUUGCACCCAUGAUCUGAAUUCACCCUGCUAAACUUGCAUUUCCCCAGCAGAUGUGAAGAAAAGACUAAGAGCGGGAGUUCUGUAGUCAGACUGCAGCUGUAAACCCAGCUUACCAUUUAUAAGCUGAGUGUUCUCUAGGGCAGGUCAUUCAACUGCUCUGUGCCUCAGUUUGUUCUUCCACAAAAUGGGGACAAUACUGGCACCUACUCAAUAAGGAUGCCAUGAGACAUAGAAGAUCCAUGGGCCUCUGUUCCCCUGCCUCUGUGCGUUUGCUUGUCCUACCUGGAAUUCCUCUGGCACUAUCUUUGCUUAGUGAAGCCUACCUGUUCUUAAAGGCCCAAGUUAAAUGCGCCACGUCCUUGAAGCCUUCCCAGAUUGCCACAGCCUUAUGCCUCCUCCCCAGUUAAAUAAACACGGUAUGCUUCCUGAAGGCGGCUACAACCCACACUGCUCCAGGCUGUGGUGAUGCCUGUCCACACCUCACUAUCCCCACAGAGACUGAGCUUCUUGAGGGCAGGGGCUCAAGAGUUGGUGCUCAACAGAUGCGUAUUGAAUGAAUGAAUGGUUCCAGGAUAUUCCAGAUAUUCGGGUGAUGUUCUGACAAACCUACGAGACUGUCUUUUAGAUACUCUUGAACUGAGGCCUCUAAGAUAGUAAACACACCACUCCAACUAAUUCUUUGGAUUUAAAGGGACUUUGGCUUACUGAAGAGCUUAUUUUGACUUGUUGAGAGUUAAUUAUCAGCAAGGAGCUAACCUGGGAGAGAAGAAGGAAGGACAAGAGGUCUCUCCCUCUGUCUACGCUAUUAAUAUAGAAAGAGUAUUACAUGGUGUGAAGAUUACAUGACACAACAUUUUAAAAGGCCUAGCGGAGCACUUAGCCUGAAGUUGUCCCUCAAGAAAUGGUAGACUCAUUGAUUUCUUUUCGUGGUUGUUAUUGUUAGGAAAAACUGAGCUUGCAAGGAUGGAGGGCUGAUUCAUUCGUAGUUGGGCCUGGGAGCCUGCAAAUGACACUUCCUGAACUCCAGUUAAGUUCAGCCAAUGGGAUAAAGUGGUGAGAGAUGGGAAGGCAUGAGGAAGGGAAUAGCAGCUUUCUCUGCUUCUGGAGGUGACUUCCGCAGUGGCAGCAGCCAUGGCGGCCCUAGGGUAGGCGUUCCAGCAGCAUCCCUGGGAGGGCAGGCUCCUUGGUUGUGGCUCAGUGGCAGCGUCCUGUCUCGGCAGCGGCAGUGGCAGCAGGCCUGUUUCGGCAGUGGCAGUGCUUCCAGCUGCUAACCAGCAAGUGUGUGCUUCUGGUUCCAGCCCACGGGCAGUAGCAGCUCCCUCAACUCAGAGCAUCGCCUUCUCCCUUUGCUCAUUCAUUUUUCCAAGACAUUUGUAACCAACUCCCUAAAUUAAACGGUCUUCUCCUUGAGGUGCCUAGACUGCCUUCUAUUUUCCUGAUUGGGCUCCAAUUGAUAUAGAGGGCAAUAAAUGGGGUAAUUAAUGUGAAACUUAUUUGCUUCUUCUUAUUGCAAGGGCCAGAGCAGAAAGGAAACUCCAAACCCAAACUCUCAGUGAUUCCCCCUUAGUGGAAAUCUGAUAUCAUCCCACCCAUCAGCUUGACUGCUUUAGGCCAGGCCACCUGUCACCCCAACUAGAGUUCAUGGGCAUCUUCAGAGACCAGGAUACACAAAAAAAAACCCACCCAAUGCUCUCCUCCACUCUCCACCUCCCUCCUCACCCACAAUCCUGUCUUAUUCUCUUGGCUACUAGGAAGUGCUUUUUGAUAAUCCGACUCAAUUCACUUUCUAUACUUCCCA